rnacentral:rRNA from 1 species
GACGAACGCUGGCGGCAGGCCUAACCCAUGCAAGUCGAACGAGUGGCGGACGGGUGAGUAAUGUCUGGGAAACUGCCUGAUGGAGGGGGAUAACUACUGGAAACGGUAGCUAAUACCGCAUACCAUCAGAUGCGCCCAGACAGGAUUAGCUAGUAGGUGGGGUAACGGACCACCUAGGCGACGAUCCCUAGCUGGUCUGAGAGGAUGCCCAGCCACACUGGAACUGAGACACGGUCCAGACUCCUACGGGAGGCAGAAGUGGGGAAUAUUGCACAAUGGGCGCAAGCCUGAUGCAGCCAUGCCGCGUGUAUGAAGAAGGCCUUCGGGUUGUAAAGUACUUACAGCGGGGAGGCGUUACCCGCAGAAGAAGCACCGGCUAACUCCGUGCCAGCAGCCGCGGUAAUUC